rnacentral:lncRNA from 1 species
CAUUGAUUUGAUUAAUUACAUGGUUGCCAACUGUAUUGAAAGAUGGAGGUGCCCUAACUGACCUUAUGAGAGGUAAAUCUUUAUCAUUAUUUUUAUUGUAUAUGUAUAUAUUCAUGUGAAGAUCCACUACAUGUUAUACUUAGUAAAGUGUAUAUAUAUGUUUCUAAAAGAUAGACUGUGACGCUGUUGAGGAAAGGUCAA